rnacentral:rRNA from 1 species
UACGGGGGGUGCGAGCGUUGUCCGGAAUCACUGGGCGUAAAGGGCGCGUAGGUGGCCUGAUAAGGGUGUGGUGAAAGUCCGGGGCUCAACCCCGGAUCGGCCGUGCCGACUGUUAGGCUAGAGUACUGUAGGGGCAGGCGGAAUUCCGGGUGUAGCGGUGGAAUGCGUAGAGAUCCGGAGGAACACCGGUGGCGAAGGCGGGUCUCUGGGCCGAUACUGACGCUGAGGAGCGAAAGCGUGGGGAGCGAACAGG